UGCCACAAUGAUGACAUUUUAUUUGCUACUCUUGACUGCAAGAAUGACGAUAAAUGUAACCACCAUUAUACUUACUGAGGCA
rnacentral:snoRNA from 1 species